rnacentral:rRNA from 1 species
CACGUAGGGUGCGAGCGUUGUCCGGAAUUAUUGGGCGUAAAGAGCUCGUAGGCGGUGUGUCGCGUCGGCCGUGAAAAACCUGCAGCUUAACUGUGGGCUUGCGGUCGAUACGGGCAUCACUGGAGUUCGGCAGGGGGAGACUGGAAUUCCUGGUGUAGCGGUGAAAUGCGCAGAUAUCAGGAGGAACACCGGUGGCGAAGGCGGGACUCUGGGCC